rnacentral:rRNA from 1 species
UCAAGCUGUAAAGGGCGCAAGGGGAAUGCCUUGGCACUGAGAGCCGAUGAAGGACGCGACAAGCUGCGAUAAGCUACGGGGAGCCGCAAAUGGGCUUUGAUCCGUAGAUUUCCGAAUGGGGAAACCCGGCAGAGCAAUACUCUGUCAACGUACACUGAAUACAUAGGUGUACGUGGGGAACCGCCUGAACUGAAACAUCUAAGUAGGGCGAGGAAGAGAAAUCAACCGAGAUUCCGCUAGUAGUGGCGAGCGAACGCGGAAGAGGCCAAACCGAAGGUAGCAAUAUCUUCGGGGUUAGGACUGCAAUAUGUAACUUUAAUCUUUAACUGAAUGCUUUGGGAAGAGCAGCGACACAGGGUGAUAGCCCCGUAAGUGAAAGAGAUUGAGUGCUAGCAGUAUCCAGAGUACCAGCGGACACGUGAAACCCGCUGGGAAGAUGGGGGGACCAUCCUCCAAGCCUAAAUACUACUCAGUGACCGAUAGUGGAGCAGUACCGUGAGGGAAAGGUGAAAAGUACCCCGGGAGGGGAGUGAAAGAGAACCUGAAACCUUGUGCCUACAAGCACCGAGAGCACGUUAAAGUGUGAUCGGGUACUUUUUGUAGAACGGUCCGGCGAGUUAAUAUUUGCAGCGAGGUUAAGUAACUGGAGUUACGGAGCCGCAGCGAGAGCGAGUCUGAAUAGGGCGUAUGAAGUUGCAGGUAUUAGACCCGAAACCGGGUGACCUAUCCAUGAGCAGGCUGAAGCGGUGGUAAGACACCGUGGAGGGCCGCACCCACGUCUGUUGAAAAAGCCGGGGAUGACUUGUGGAUAGCGGAGAAAUUCCAAUCGAACUCGGAGAUAGCUGGUUCUCCCCGAAAUAGCUUUAGGGCUAGCGUUAUUUUAGAUUACCGGAGGUAAAGCACUGAAUGGUCUAGGGGCCGCGAGGUUACCAAAGCCUAUCAAACUCUGAAUGCCGGAUAAUUGAUGAAUAGCAGUCAGACUGUGUGAGAUAAGUCUCAUAGUCAAAAGGGAAACAGCCCAGAUCUACAGCUAAGGUCCCAAAUGAACACUAAGUGGAAAAUGAUGUGAAACUGCGAAGACAACCAGGAUGUUGGCUUAGAAGCAGCCACUCAUUCAAAGAGUGCGUAAUAGCUCACUGGUCGAGUGGUUUUGCGCAGAAAAUGUAACGGGGCUAAGUGUUCAACCGAAGCUUAGGCAUUGCAGUAAUGCAUUGGGUAGGGGAGCGUCGUAUGCGGGGCGAAGUCAGAGCGGAAGCACUGGUGGACUGCAUACGAGUGAGAAUGCCGGAAUAAGUAGCGAGAAUUAUGUGAGAAUCAUAAUGGCCGAAAAUCUAAGGUUUCCUGGGGAAGGUUCGUCCGCCCAGGGUUAGUCGGGAGCUAAGCUCAGGCCGAAAGGCGUAGGCGAUGCACAUACGGUAGAAAUUCCGUAACCACCGAACUUUAAGCUAGAGGGACGCUUUCUUUAAGGUUAUCCCGGGCGAUGGUUGCCCCGGGCGUAAGGGACCGAAAUUUAGUAGGGAAGUAACUGGCGAGAGAGACGAGAAAAGCUCUAGUGUAUACUAAGGUGCCCGUACCGCAAACCGACACAGGUAGAAGGGAUGAGUAUUCUAAGGCCAACGGGAGAAGGGUUGUUAAGGAACUCGGCAAAUUGGCCCCGUAACUUCGGGAUAAGGGGCGCCUGCGAGAGCAGGCCGCAGUGAAAAGGCCCAAGCGACUGUUUAGCAAAAACACAGCUCUCUGCUAAAUCGAAAGAUGACGUAUAGGGGGUGACGCCUGCCCGGUGCUGGAAGGUUAAGGGGAGUGCUUAGCGCAAGCGAAGGUGCGAACUUAAGCCCCAGUAAACGGCGGCCGUAACUAUAACGGUCCUAAGGUAGCGAAAUUCCUUGUCAGGUAAGUUCUGACCCGC